rnacentral:rRNA from 1 species
AACGAACGCUGGCGGCAUGCCUAACACAUGCAAGUCGAACGAGACCUUCGGGUCUAGUGGCGCACGGGUGCGUAACGCGUGGGAAUCUGCCCUUGGGUUCGGAAUAACAGUUAGAAAUGACUGCUAAUACCGGAUAAUGACGUAAGUCCAAAGAUUUAUCGCCCAAGGAUGAGCCCGCGUAGGAUUAGCUUGUUGGUUAGGUAAAGGCUCACCAAGGCGACGAACCUUAGCUGGUCUGAGAGGAUGAUCAGCAACACUGGGACUGAGACACGGCCCAGACUCCUACUGGAGGCAGCAGUGGGGAAUAUUGGACAAUGGGCGAAAGCCUGAUCCAGCAAUGCCGCGUGAGUGAUGAAGGCCUUAGGGUUGUAAAGCUCUUUUACCCGGGAUGAUAAUGACAGUACCGGGAGAAUAAGCCCCGGCUAACUCCGUGCCAGCCGCCGCAGUAACAC